rnacentral:rRNA from 1 species
AUUGAACGCUGGCGGCAGGCCUAACACAUGCAAGUCGAACGGUAACAGGAAGCAGCUUGCUGCUUCGCUGACGAGUGGCGGGCGGGUGAGUAAUGUCUGGGAAGCUGCCUGAUGGAGGGGGAUAACUACUGGAAACGGUAGCUAAUACCGCAUAAUGUCGCAAGACCAAAGAGGGGGACCUUCGGGCCUCUUGCCAUCGGAUGUGCCCAGAUGGGAUUAGCUUGUUGGUGGGGUAACGGCUCACCAAGGCGACGAUCCCUAGCUGGUCUGAGAGGAUGACCAGCCACACUGGAACUGAGACACGGUCCAGACUCCUACGGGAGGCAGCAGUGGGGAAUAUUGCACAAUGGGCGCAAGCCUGAUGCAGCCAUGCCGCGUGUAUGAAGAAGGCCUUCGGGUUGUAAAGUACUUUCAGCGGGGAGGAAGGGAGUAAAGUUAAUACCUUUGCUCAUUGACGUUACCCGCAGAAGAAGCACCGGCUAACUCCGUG